AUGGGUUGUUAUAUUCAGAUACAGAUGGUUCAGCAAUCCCGUAUGUGAUCAAUUCUUCGACUUGCUUAUGUGGGCAUAGGUAAUUUUUUAUAUUCGGUUUUCAAUCUGAAUUUAUCAUUAUAAUGGGUGUAUAAGCUUGAAAACUUUGACUUUAACUGUGGAGGGACAUUUUCGACAAAAUCGCUAAUGCUAAUAUUCCACCACAGGGAAUAGCGUAUUGUCAAUCCACGAAAUUAAAGUCAUGUGGAUUUAUAUACUUAGAUUUGUCUUGAAAGACAUCAGAAUUUCCUUUUAAAAAAGAUAUGUCUGCACCUAGGCCGAUUAAAAAGACAAGUUAUUUUCCCGAAGCAAGGUGAAAAAAAGAUACGAAUAUGCUUUUACUGUGCUGGAAUUAGUUAAUUGCUUUUCGUGGACUAUGUACGCUGUGUGAGAAAAAAAAAUUAAUAUAAUAAUAUACUGCAAAAAAUUACUUUUGCGCUAUUAGAACGGAUCUUUGGAUGUUUCAGGCUAAGGAAGCAUUCAUUAGUGUCACAUGCACAUUUGUCGCAAAUGAUUUUAGGCUGCAAAUUGCUGUUUUGUCGACAAAGAGAUUACUUUGUGAAACAAAUUACUCGGCACAACAUAUUCAAGAGAGUUUACAAGCCGUUUUCGAUAAUAUCUUCUAAAAUUGUUGCCAUAGUGCGAGCUCAAUUAAUAUAUAUUAAUAAAGCGUGUGAUUUGCU